ACGCUGGCGGCGUGCCUAACACAUGCAAGUCGAACGGAGUAAUUCCUUCGGGGGAUUACUUAGUGGCGGACGGGUGAGUAACGCGUGAGCAACCUGCCUUACAGAGGGGGACAACAGUUGGAAACGACUGCUAAUACCGCAUAAUGUUAUUUGGGGGCAUCCUUGAAUAACCAAAGCUUUAUGUGCUGAAAGAUGGUCUCGCGUCUGAUUAGCUAGUUGGUGGGGUAACGGCCCACCAAGGCGACGAUCAGUAGCCGGUCUGAGAGGAUGAACGGCCACAUUGGGACUGAGAUACGGCCCAGACUCCUACGGGAGGCAGCAGUGGGGAAUAUUGGGCAAUGGGGGAAACCCUGACCCAGCAACGCCGCGUGAAGGAAGAAGGCUUUCGGGUUGUAAACUUCUUUUAGCAGGGACGAAGGACGUGACGGUACCUGCAGAAAAAGCAACGGCUAACUACGUG
rnacentral:rRNA from 1 species